AUACGGAGGGUGCAAGCGUUAUCCGGAAUCACUGGGUUUAAAGGGUGCGUAGGCGGCCAUAUUAGUCAGUAGUGAAAGGUUGCAGCUUAACUGUAAGACUGCUAUUGAAACUGUAUGGCUUGAAUUAGGAUGAGGUAGGCGGAAUGUGACAUGUAGCGGUGAAAUGCUUAGAUAUGUCAUAGAACACCGAUUGCGUAGGCAGCUUACUAGACCUAUAUUGACGCUGAGGCACGAAAGCGUGGGGAGCGAACAGGAUUAGAUACCCCAGUAGUCC
rnacentral:rRNA from 1 species